AGCAGCCGCGGUAAUUCCAGCUCCAAUAGCGUAUAUUAAAGUUGUUGCAGUUAAAAAGCUCGUAGUUGAAUUUCGGGAUCAACAUGUCGGUCGUGCCUCUGGUACGUACUGUCAUCGUUGGUUUCUCCCUUCUGACGAACCAUGAUGUCAUUUAUUUGGUGUUGUGGGGAAUCAGGACUGUUACUUUGAAAAAUUGAGUGUUUAAAGCAGGCUCACGCUUGAAUACAUUAGCAUGGAAUAAUGAAAUAGGACGUUUGAUUCUAUUUUGUUGGUUUCUAGGAUCGACGUAAUGAUUAAUAGGGAUAGUUGGGGGCAUUAGUAUUCAAUUGUCAGAGGUGAAAUUCUUGGAUUUAUUGAAGACUAACUACUGCGAAAGCAUUUGCCAAGGAUGUUUUCAUUAA
rnacentral:rRNA from 1 species